GAUGAACGCUAGCGGCAGGCUUAACACAUGCAAGUCGAGGGGUAGAGGAAGCUUGCUUCCUUGAGACCGGCGCACGGGUGCGUAACGCGUAUGCAACCUACCUUUUACAGAGGGAUAGCCCAGAGAAAUUUGGAUUAAUACCUCAUGGUAUAUAUCAUUCGCAUGUUUGAUAUAUUAAAGUUCCAACGGUAAAAGAUGGGCAUGCGUCCUAUUAGCUAGAUGGUAAGGUAACGGCUUACCAUGGCAACGAUAGGUAGGGGUCCUGAGAGGGAGAUCCCCCACACUGGUACUGAGACACGGACCAGACUCCUACGGGAGGCAGCAGUGAGGAAUAUUGGACAAUGGGCGCAAGCCUGAUCCAGCCAUGCCGCGUGCAGGAAGAAGCAUCUAUGGUGUGUAAACUGCUUUUGUACGGGAAGAAACACUCCUUCGUGAAGGAGCUUGACGGUACCGUAAGAAUAAGGAUCGGCUAACUCCGUGCCAGCCGCCGCUGUAACAC
rnacentral:rRNA from 1 species